GAUUGAAUGUUGUGUGUACUCCGUAUAUCAUAAGCUUUCAAGGAUACAAUUCAUUUCUUCACAACAAUGAACGCUAUCACAAAAGCGAAGAAGCCUUAUUUUCCAUCUAAAACCACAGGUUUUGCCACCCAACAGCCUCCAAAUCCAAUUUCUUCGAGCCAUGAUCAUCGAAAUCUCGCCGAAACCCAUUUCAUAUCACUCAUCCACUCCUCCAAAUCCACUCCCCAGCUCAAAUCCAUCCACGCCCAAGUCCUCCGCCGCGGCCUCCACAUCGCCAACUCUAGAAUCACCACCCAGCUCAUCUCCGCCUCUUCUCAGCAUGGGUCCAUAAAUUACGCCCUCUCCAUUUUCCGCUCUUCUUGCUAUCGGAACUUGUUCCUUUUCAAUGCAAUGAUCAGGGGACUUUGCGAGAAUUCGUGUUUCGAGAGCUCGAUCGAGCAUUUUAAGCUUAUGUUGAGGCUUGAUGUGCGGCCUGAUAGGCUUACGUUUCCGUUUGUGCUGAAGUCGGUAAUGGGUUUGCGUGGGAAACGAUGUGGGGUUGUGUUGCAUUGCGGGAUUUUUAAAAUGGGUCUUGAUUGUGACUCGUUUGUGAGGGUUUCUUUGGCCGAUAUGUACGUGAAAAUUGGGUUAUUGGAUUUUGCCUUGCAGGUGUUCAACGAAAGUCCUGAGAAGAAUAAGGUUGAGAGUGUGCUAUUGUGGAAUGUGGUAAUCAAUGGGUGUUGCAAGGUUGGGAAGCUGAGUGAGGCAGUCCAGUUAUUCGAGGCAAUGCCAGAGAGGAACGCUGGCUCGUGGAAUAGUUUGAUAAAUGGGUUGAUGAGAAGUGGGGAAGUGGACAAGGCAAUUGAGUUUUUUGAUGGGAUGGACGAGAAGAACGUGGUUUCUUGGACUACUGUGAUUCAUGGAUUGAUGCUGAAUGGGCUUCACGAGAAGGCUCUGGAGUUGUUCUUUAAGAUGGUGGAUAUAGGUGUCAAGCCCAAUGAUUUGACUAUCGUUUCUGCCCUUUCUGCCUGUGCAAAAAUUGGGGCACUUGAGGCAGGGAUAAGAAUCCAUAAUAACAUGUUGAGCCACAGGUUCAAGAUGAAUGCUGCCGCUGGAAAUGCUUUGCUGGAUAUGUAUGCAAAAUGUGGGGAUAUUGAGUCUGCUAGUCAGGUGUUUAAUGGGAUGAAAGUGAAAGAUAUACGUACUUGGAGUGUUAUGAUUUGGGGUUGGGCAAUCCAUGGAUGUGUUGAUAAGGCCAUUCAGUGCUUUGAAAUGAUGAUCUUGUCAGGAAUCAGACCUGAUGAAGUUGUUUUUCUGUCUGUUUUAACUGCAUGCUCACACGCUGGAAGGGUGGAUCAGGGUCUCAACAUUUUUAAUAGCAUGAAGGUUAUAUACUCUAUGGUGCCAACCAUGAAACAUUAUGCUGUGAUAGUUGAUCUAUAUGGCCGGGCAGGCCAGCUGGAUGAGGCUUUGAGAUUUAUUGAAAGAAUGCCAUUGGAGCCUGACCACAUCAUUUGGGGGGCACUCUUUUGUGCUUGCAGAGCUUGUAAAAAUAUUGAAAUGGCAAAAUAUGCCACAGAUAAACUCCUGAAGCUUGAGCCAAAACAUCCUGGCAGCUAUAUCUUUCUUUCAAAUGUUUAUGCUGGCGUGGGCAAAUGGGAUGAUGUUGAAAGGGUAAGAACUUCGAUGAAGAGUAAAGAUGUAGAGAAAGAUCCUGGAUGGAGUUCAAUGGAGGUGGAUGGUCAGGUGCAUACCUUUGUAGCUGGCGAUCGUGCUCACAGCCUAGCCUGUGAGAUAUAUGCAAAAUUAGAGGACAUAACAACAUGUGCUAGACAACAAGGUUACAUGCCUGAAACUGAGUGGGUCCUUCAUAACAUUGAGGAGGAAGAAAAGGAAGAUGCCUUAGGAAGUCAUAGCGAAAAGUUGGCACUUGCUUUUGGGCUUAUCAGUACUGGUCCUAGUACAGUCCUUAGGAUUGUCAAGAACCUGAGAGUCUGUGGGGAUUGCCAUUCUCUGAUGAAACAUGUCAGUAAGAUGAACCAAAGAGAGAUUGUUCUGAGAGAUAUUAAGAGAUUCCAUCAUUUUAAAGAUGGGGUUUGCUCAUGCCAUGAUUACUGGUAGCUGUAACAUCCAGGGUUCAACAACAGACACCUGCUUCCUUAGUUCCUCCAAAUCUUCCUUCGUAUUUGAAUAUGAUUCCUAGGAAUCUGAUUACUCCAGAACCAGGGAGCAUGCUUGUAAAUUGAAAGUGAAAGAAGAGGAAGAGAACAAAGAGAGAGAGAGAUAGAAGGUACACCCUCAUAUAACUUGGUUACCACUCCCCUCUAUAAAUCUGUCACUUUUCUUUUAGAGUUGGAUUUGUGUGUCUUCUGUGUUCUUUAAAUCUCCAUCCGUUAUUAUCUUUAGCUAUUCGUCCAUCAAUUUAUAGCGCAUGACAAAUUAUUUCACAUUUGGCUCCAGAAGUUGGAAGAGGAUAAGGUUGGUGCCUAUGUUAAAGUUGUUUUGUUUUAAUGUGAAAAUUAUUGUAGCUCAAUGAAUAUGGAUGUAUUUCUAUUUAGUUACGUCAGAUGAAAAUGAAAAUAGCCGGUUCAAGUCAGUAUAACUGUUCAUUUUGGAUUGUUUUUUUGGUGUUUUGAGCCUUACUGUCUCAGUUUUGACAUUACUGUAACCUGGACUCUUAAGAUAACUAUUUUAAUUGUACAGAGAAUUUUUAUUCC